rnacentral:rRNA from 1 species
CCUACGGGAGGCAGCAGUGAGGAAUAUUGGUCAAUGGACGAGAGUCUGAACCAGCCAAGUAGCGUGAAGGAUGACUGUCCUAUGGGUUGUAAACUUCUUUUAUAAAGGAAUAAAACGAGGCACGUGUGCCUUUUUGCAUGUACUUUAUGAAUAAGGAUCGGCUAACUCCGUGCCAGCAGCCGCGGUAAUACGGAGGAUCCGAGCGUUAUCCGGAUUUAUUGGGUUUAAAGGGAGCGUAGAUGGGUUGUUAAGUCAGUUGUGAAAGUUUGCGGCUCAACCGUAAAAUUGCAAUUGAUACUGGCAGUCUUGAGUACAGUUGAGGUAAGCGGAAUUCGUGGUGUAGCGGUGAAAUGCUUAGAUAUCACGAAGAACUCCGAUUGCGAAGGCAGCUUACUAACCUGUGACUGACAUUGAUGCUCGAAAGUGUGGGUAUCGAACAGGAUUAGAUACCCUAGUAGUC